GACGAACGCUGGCGGCGUGCCUAAUACAUGCAAGUUGAGCGAUGAAGAUUGGUGCUUGCACCAAUUUGAAGAGCAGCGAACGGGUGAGUAACGCGUGGGGAAUCUGCCUUUGAGCGGGGGACAACAUUUGGAAACGAAUGCUAAUACCGCAUAACAACUUUAAACAUAAGUUUUAAGUUUGAAAGAUGCAAUUGCAUCACUCAAAGAUGAUCCCGCGUUGUAUUAGCUAGUUGGUGAGGUAAAGGCUCACCAAGGCGAUGAUACAUAGCCGACCUGAGAGGGUGAUCGGCCCCAUUGGGACUGAGACACGGCCCAAACUCCUACGGGAGGCAGCAGUAGGGAAUCUUCGGCAAUAGACGAAAGUCUGACCGAGCAACGCCGCGUGAGUGAAGAAGGUUUUCGGAUCGUAAAACUCUGUUGGUAGAGAAGAACGUUGGUGAGAGUGGAAAGCUCAUCAAGUGACGGUAACUACCCAGAAAGGGACGGCUAACUACGUG
rnacentral:rRNA from 1 species